rnacentral:rRNA from 1 species
GAUGAACGCUGGCGGCGUGCUUAAUACAUGCAAGUCGAACGAAGAGCCUUUGUAGCAAUACGAGGGUUUCUUAGUGGCGAACGGGUGCGUAACGCGUUGGUGACCUGCCCAGAAGUGUGGGAUAACAGUUCGAAAGGAUUGCUAAUACCGCAUGUGGUCAUCGAGUUUAGAAAUCGAUGAUUAAAGCAGUAAUGCGCUUCUGGAGGGACCUGCGUCCCAUCAGCUAGUUGGUGAGGUAACGGCCCACCAAGGCUACGACGGGUAGGGGACCUGAGAGGGUGGUCCCCCACACUGGCACUGAAACACGGGCCAGACACCUACGGGUGGCAGCAGUAGGGAAUAUUGGUCAAUGGGCGAAAGCCUGAACCAGCAACGCCGCGUGCACGAUGAAGGUCUUCGGAUCGUAAAGUGCUUUUCUGAGAGAUGAGAAAGGACAGUAUCUCAGGAAUAAGUCUCGGCUAACUACGUGCCAGCAGCCGCCGUAACAC